rnacentral:rRNA from 2 species
UAGAGUUUGAUUCUGGCUCAGAACGAACGCUGGCGGCAGGCCUAACACAUGCAAGUCGAGCGCACCUUCGGGUGAGCGGCGGACGGGUUAGUAACGCGUGGGAACAUACCCUUUUCUACGGAAUAGCCUCGGGAAACUGAGAGUAAUACCGUAUAAGCCCCUCGGGGGAAAGAUUUAUCGGGAAAGGAUUGGCCCGCGUUAGAUUAGAUAGUUGGUGGGGUAAUGGCCUACCAAGUCUACGAUCUAUAGCUGGUUUUAGAGGAUGAUCAGCAACACUGGGACUGAGACACGGCCCAGACUCCUACGGGAGGCAGCAGUGGGGAAUCUUAGACAAUGGGCGCAAGCCUGAUCUAGCCAUGCCGCGUGUGUGAUGAAGGUCUUAGGAUCGUAAAGCACUUUCGCCAGGGAUGAUAAUGACAGUACCUGGUAAAGAAACCCCGGCUAACUCCGUGCCAGCAGCCGCGGUAAUACGGAGGGGGUUAGCGUUGUUCGGAAUUACUGGGCGUAAAGCGUACGUAGGCGGAUUGGAAAGUUGGGGGUGAAAUCCCAGGGCUCAACCCUGGAACUGCCUCCAAAACUAUCAGUCUAGAGUUCGAGAGAGGUGAGUGGAAUUCCAAGUGUAGAGGUGAAAUUCGU